rnacentral:rRNA from 1 species
AUUGAACGCUGGCGGCAUGCUUUACACAUGCAAGUCGAACGGCAGCGCGGGCCUCGGCCUGGCGGCGAGUGGCGAACGGGUGAGUAAUACAUCGGAACGUGCCCAGUAGUGGGGGAUAGCUCGGCGAAAGCCGGAUUAAUACCGCAUACGACCUGAGGGUGAAAGCGGGGGAUCUUCGGACCUCGCGCUAUUGGAGCGGCCGAUGGCAGAUUAGCUAGUUGGUGGGGUAAAGGCCUACCAAGGCGACGAGCUGUAGCUGGUCUGAGAGGACGACCAGCCACACUGGGACUGAGACACGGCCCAGACUCCUACGGGAGGCAGCAGUGGGGAAUUUUGGACAAUGGGCGAAAGCCUGAUCCAGCAAUGCCGCGUGUGUGAUGAAGGCCUUCGGGUUGUAAAGCACUUUUGGCGGGAACGAAAAGGACUGUGCCAAUACCACGGUUCGAUGACGGUACCCGCAGAAUAAGCACCGGCUAACUACGUG